rnacentral:rRNA from 1 species
GUUCUGGCUCAGGAUGAACGCUAGCUACAGGCUUAACACAUGCAAGUCGAGGGGCAGCGGGAUCUAGCUUGCUAGAUUGGCCGGCGACCGGCGCACGGGUGAGUAGCGCGUAUCCAACCUUCCCCUUAGUAGGGCAUAGCCCGUAGAAAUGCGGAUUAAUACCCUAUGUUGUCAAUGCGGACAUCUAAGUUGAACCAAAGGUUUACCGCUAAGGGAUGGGGAUGCGUCCGAUUAGGCCGCAGGCGGGGUAACGGCCCACCUGGCCAACGAUCGGUAGGGGUUCUGAGAGGAAGGUCCCCCACAUUGGAACUGAGACACGGUCCAAACUCCUACGGGAGGCAGCAGUGAGGAAUAUUGGUCAAUGGGCGAGAGCCUGAACCAGCCAAGUAGCGUGCAGGACGACGGCCCUAUGGGUUGUAAACUGUCUUUUAUGCGGGGAUAAAGUUCACUACGCGUAGUGUUUUGUAGGUACCGCAUGAAUAAGGACCGGCUAAUUCCGUGCCAGCCGCGGC